rnacentral:misc_RNA from 1 species
GAAAUGCGAUAAGUAAUGUGAAUUGCAGAAUUCAGUGAAUCAUCGAAUCUUUGAACGCACAUUGCGCCCUCUGGUAUUCCGGGGGGCAUGCCUGUUCGAGCGUCAUUACAACCCUCAAGCUCUGCUUGGUAUUGGGCACUGCGGGUAACUGCAGGCCUUAAAAUCAGUGGCGGUGCCAUUCGGCUUCAAGCGUAGUAAUUCUUCUCGCUUUGGAGACCCGAGUGGUUACUAGCCAUCAACCCCCAAUUUUUUCAGGUUGACCUCGGAUCAGGUAGGGAUACCCGCUGAACUUAA